CAGGCCCUACGGGAGGCAGCAGUGGGGAAUAUUGCACAAUGGGGGGAACCCUGAUGCAGCGACGCCGCGUGGGUGAAGAAGUCAUUCGUGACGUAAAGCCCUAUCAGCAGGGAAGAAAAUGACGGUACCUGACUAAGAAGCCCCGGCUAACUACGUGCCAGCAGCCGCGGUAAUACGUAGGGGGCAAGCGUUAUCCGGAUUUACUGGGUGUAAAGGGAGCGUAGACGGCGGCGCAAGUCCGGAGUGACAGCCCACGGCCCAACCGUGGGACUGCUCUGGUCACUGUGCGGCUUG
rnacentral:rRNA from 1 species